GGGCACAUAGCUCAGCGGUAGAGCAUCGCCUUCACACGGCGGGGGUCCCAGGUUCGAAACCUGGUGUGCCCA
rnacentral:tRNA from 2 species